UUUAUGGAGAGUUUGAUCCUGGCUCAGGACGAACGCUGGCGGCGUGCCUAAUACAUGCAAGUCGAGCGAACAGAAAAGGAGCUUGCUCCUUUGACGUUAGCGGCGGACGGGUGAGUAACACGUGGGCAACCUACCCUAUAGUUUGGGAUAACUCCGGGAAACCGGGGCUAAUACCGAAUAAUCUCUUUUACUUCAUGGUGAAAGACUGAAAGACGGUUUCGGCUGUCGCUAUAGGAUGGGCCCGCGGCGCAUUAGCUAGUUGGUGAGGUAACGGCUCACCAAGGCGACGAUGCGUAG
rnacentral:rRNA from 1 species